GAUGAACGCUGGCGGCGUGCCUAAUACAUGCAAGUCGAGCGAACCGCUGUGGAGCUUUUUCUUCUGACGUUAGCGGCUGAUGGGUGAGUAACACGUGGGUAAGUUACCUAUAAGAAUGGGAUCAUUUCGGGAAAGCGAAGCUAAUACCGGAUCAUCUAAUGACCCGUAAGGUUCAAUCAUGAAAGACGGCUUUGCUGACAACUAUGGUUGUAUAAGAGCCGCAUUAGUUAGUUGGGAAGGUAACGGAUUACCAAGGCAACCAAGCUAAGCCGACAUGAGCGGGUGAUCGGCCACACUAGAACUGAGACACGGUCCACACUCCGACGGGGGGCAGCAGUAGGGAAUCUUACGCAAUGGACGAAAGCCUGACGGUGCAACGCCGCGGGAGUGAUGAUGGUCUUCGGAUCGUAAAGCUCUGUUAUUAGGGAAGAACAAAUGUGUAAGUAACUAUGCACGUCUUGACGGUACCUAAUCAGAAAGCCACGGCUAACUACGUG
rnacentral:rRNA from 1 species